ACAAACGGUCGCGAAGACGCGCGCGUCUUUGAGGAAAGUCCGGACUCCACAGGAUAACAACGACGGGUAACGCCCGCCGGUCGUAAGACUAGGGAAAGCGCAACAGAAAGUAAACCGCCUUCGUUCGCGAAGGUAAGGGUGAAACGGCGAGGUAAGAGCUCACCGCGUUUCAGGCGACUGAAACGGCACGGCAAGCCCCGUUGGGAGCAAGGUUAAAGCGCGCCGCGUCGGACUCCGACGAAAGGCUAUCCGUCUUGAAGGCGCAGGUGAACCGCUAGAGCGAUCAGGCAACUGGUCGUCGAGAUAAAUGACCGUUACUCUUGAUAGAGGACAGAAUCCGGCUUAUCGUCCGAC
rnacentral:RNase_P_RNA from 1 species